rnacentral:rRNA from 1 species
UACGGGGGGGGGCAAGCGUUGUUCGGAAUUACUGGGCGUAAAGGGUGCGUAGGCGGCUUUCUAAGUUGGAUGUGAAAACUCUGGGCUCAACCCCAGAGCCUGCAUCCAAAACUGGAGAGCUAGGGUUCUGGAGGGGAAAGCGGAAUUCCUGGUGUAGCGGUGAAAUGCGUAGAUAUCAGGAGGAACACCGGUGGCGAAGGCGGCUUUCUGGACAGAUACCGACGCUGAGGCACGAAAGCUAGGGGAGCAAACAGG